rnacentral:lncRNA from 1 species
CAGGAGGUACCUGUUUCUGCAAGCCCUGGACAUUCCUCAUUCACAGUGGCAGCAAAAUUGAUAUCCAGCUGCUUCAUCAUCUUGUCUGCAGUCGUGUGAUAAACUCCCGAAGGACCAGUACACUUCAUCCAGAAAGCCAGCAGCGACAGCUUCUUGUGGAACUCUGGGAUUGCUGAGGGAGAAGACAAAAUGAAAGGUGAAACAAAGUUGUGCUCAGUGCGUUGUCUUCCUAAAGGGAAAUGUGAUAGGUGUGGAGGACAUCCACUCCAUCUCGCUGACGGAAGAUGUGAGAAAAUCUGCUCCCG